CUGUGCUUGUGCAUUGUUUCCAGAUACAUGUGAGUACGCUGUCUCAGUUAGUCUAGUCAAAUAGUGUUUAUUGUCAAGUUCAUUGUGUAGUGUCACCCUGUUUAGUGUUCACUUCCUCUGUUUAGUAUCUUGUUUAUAUUGUUUUGCCCCCUCGUGGGUUUUGUUUUCUGUUUUAUUCAUUAAUAAAUAUCCUUAGUUAACCCCUUGUUGUCUGCAUUUGGGUUCAUCCCUUCACACCCUACCACCAUCAUAACAUUAGUUGCAUUUCAGUUUUAUCACAACCAACUCGAUUCACGACUGCAUAAAAAUACUUCCUUUGCAUAUUGCGUUACAAAACUAGUGUGUAACUGAUCGCAUUUCUAGUUUGUUACGGGCUACGUUAAUUAAACAGCUUAUAAGGGCUGACUUCGCGUUAGAAUCAUAACACAAAACAGGGAACGUAAAUCACCUUGUGUUUUUUUAAACUGAGAUGAACAGAGCGAAGACUUUACAGUGGAAAGAAAACUGCAUUGUAUUGCUCCAGCGUCACAUUGUGUAAACUGAAUUUAUAGUAAGGAAGUGCACAUAUGCAGAUAUCAUAGGAAAUAGCAGUAAAUACACACACCUUGUUCUCUUCUGAAGUUCACGCGCACUGUGAGACCGUCUUCUUCUUCUUUUCGUUUACUGGCUGCUCACUCCUUGGGAGUAUUACCGCCACCUACUGUAUUCACCUUAUUUUUCACGACAACAAGGGCGGCGCCAUUUCGCUCAUUUUGUCAACGUUCUUCCGGCCGCAUAGACGAUGAGCAGCUGAGGCAGUGACUGAAGGCGACGUUAGCUCACUCGAGCGCCUUUAUGUUUCUUUCUUACCAAUUUUAAGCCAACUGAGGAACACCCUUAUCCCAAGUAAUGGUUCGACUACGAUGUUCCGGUAACUUUAAACCACGCCUGGUGUUGAAAAUGUGGCCAGUUUCAGAUGCAUUGAUGUUUAGUGAUGCAGUGGACAAAUGUGAGGAUGAUACAAUCAACAUGUUCCUAAACUGUGAUGCAGAAACACAAUGGGAGCUUCUAUCCGUCUCUGACCACAACUACACUUUAAAAUCACAACUCAACCUGAAGCAACAUACAUCUGAUAUGGGAAAACAAUGGUGCGGUUUCCCUGACAGGGCUUAUGUUGGUCCCAGGCUAAAAUGCAUAUUUGAGCUACAAUAAUUUAAAAACACCUUUUACUGACAUACCUCAACAUAUAUGAGUGCCAUUGUUUUGUCACAAGAUGCGCACCAGUCUUGUUUUUUUGUAGGAUUUGUUUGUAAAAACUAAAAUGUCCUAAUAUAAUUAAGGCCUAGUCCUGUAAACCCUGUCCGAGAAACUGCUUCAAUGUGUUGAGCUGGCACAAAUGUACAUAUCUCUACUGAGAAACAACCAUCUUUGGUUCAGCUUUACACAGGGUUGAUAUUGCAUUCAUUACACAGUCGCCAAGCACUUUACCAGUACAUACACCAACAGCUUCCAGAUAUACGCUUGGGAUCAGCUCCUGAUGACUCCGAUAAAGCUGUGUCUUAAUUUAUUGCAGGGUGGUCUUGCUUUACCUGUUGUAAAGUUACAUUAAACCUUCAUAUGUGAUCAGAUGUCAUGCAGUGAUAUUAAACAUUUACAGUGUGAUCAGAUGUUGUGCAUUUAUAUUAAAUCUUUACAAUGUGAUCAGCUGUUACCUGUCAUGCAUUUAUAUUAAACAUUUACUAUGUGAUCAGAUGUAACC